rnacentral:rRNA from 1 species
CAGCAGCCACGGGAAUACGUAGGUGGCAAGCGUUGUCCGGAAUUAUUGGGCGUAAAGGGCUCGCAGGCGGUUUCUUAAGUCUGAUGUGAAAGCCCCCGGCUCAACCGGGGAGGGUCAUUGGAAACUGGGAAACUUGAGUGCAGAAGAGGAGAGUGGAAUUCCACGUGUAGCGGUGAAAUGCGUAGAGAUGUGGAGGAACACCAGUGGCGAAGGCGACUCUCUGGUCUGUAACUGACGCUGAGGAGCGAAAGCGUGGGGAGCGAACAGGAUUAGAUACCCGCGUAGUCCCUGUCUCUUAUAC